rnacentral:rRNA from 1 species
CCUACGGGUGGCUGCAGUGGGGAAUCUUCCGCAAUGGGCGAAAGCCUGACGGAGCAACGCCGCGUGAUCGAGUGAAGGCCUUCGGGUUGUAAAGAUCUGUUGCUAGGGACGAAUAAGCAAUGCGUAUAGUUUUGUGUAUGACGGUACCUGUUUAGAAAGCUCCGGCUAACUACGUGCCAGCAGCCGCGGCCGUACGUAGGGAGCAAGCGUUGUCCGGAAUUACUGGGCGUAAGGGGCGCGUAGGUGGGGGCGUAAGUCAGGUGUGAAAACUCCGGGAUCAACCUGGAGACUGCACUUGAAACUGGGUGUCUUGAGGGCAGGAGAGGAAAGUGGAAUUCCUAGUGUAGCGGUGAAAUGCGUAGAUAUUAGGAGGAACACCAGUGGCGAAGGCGACUUUCUGGACUGUAACUGACGCUGAGGCGCGAAAGCGUGGGUAGCGAACGGGAUUAGAUACCCUUGUAGUC